rnacentral:rRNA from 1 species
UAGAGAGGUCCCGAGCGUUGCUCGGAUUUACUGGGCGUAAUGGGUGUGCAGGUGGUUAGAUAAGUCAGAUGUGAAGUCCCUUUGCUCAACGAAGGAACUGCAUUUGAUACUGUCCAGCUAGAGGACCGGAGGGGGAAGCGGAACUCUCGGUGUAGCGGUGAAAUGCGUGGAUAUCGAGAGGAACACCGGUGGCGAAGGUGGCUUCCGGGACGGUACAUGACGCUGAUACACGGAAGCUAGGGGAGCGAACGGG